CACUUGUGAGUGACACGCAGAGCCUUGGCUCCAGGAACUUCUCCAGCGGCAAUUUUGAAAAGAGAUUCCUGGGGGCCUAAAAUUUCUGAAAGGGAGCGACCCCUUCGAUCAACUUCAUCAGAGCGCACCGGAAGUGGCCCAACCAUGACUGGUAUGAUCUACUGUGCCCUUUCUCAGAAAGAAGCUGGAGAGCAUGCUGUGCAGCAGCAGCUGGGAGC